UGAUGAUGGUGAGAGAAAUUUUUGAGCAUACCCUUAAAUCUCUCCCAAGCUUGGUAGAGAUUCUCUCCUUCUUUCUGUCUAAAACUCAAGAUCUCGCUUCUCAAAUG
rfam:Capsicum annuum cultivar Zunla-1 chromosome 3, whole genome shotgun sequence